rnacentral:rRNA from 1 species
GCUGGGUGGAUUAGUGGCGAACGGGUGAGUAACACGUGAGUAACCUGCCCUUAACUCUGGGAUAAGCCUGGGAAACUGGGUCUAAUACCGGAUAGGAGCGCCUACCGCAUGGUGGGUGUUGGAAAGAUUUAUCGGUUUUGGAUGGACUCGCGGCCUAUCAGCUUGUUGGUGAGGUAAUGGCUCACCAAGGCGACGACGGGUAGCCGGCCUGAGAGGGUGACCGGCCACACUGGGACUGAGACACGGCCCAGACUCCUACGGGAGGCAGCAGUGGGGAAUAUUGCACAAUGGGCGCAAGCCUGAUGCAGCGACGCCGCGUGAGGGAUGACGGCCUUCGGGUUGUAAACCUCUUUCAGUAGGGAAGAAGCGAAAGUGACGGUACCUGCAGAAGAAGCACCGGCUAACUACGUGCCAGCAGCCGCGGUAAUACGUAGGGUGCGAGCGUUAUCCGGAAUUAUUGGGCGUAAAGAGCUCGUAGGCGGUUUGUCGCGUCUGUCGUGAAAGUCCGGGGCUUAACCCCGGAUCUGCGGUGGGUACGGGCAGACUAGAGUGCAGUAGGGGAGACUGGAAUUCCUGGUGUAGCGGUGGAAUGCGCAGAUAUCAGGAGGAACACCGAUGGCGAAGGCAGGUCUCUGGGCUGUAACUGACGCUGAGGAGCGAAAGCAUGGGGAGCGAACAGGAUUAGAUACCCUGGUAGUCCAUGCCGUAAACGUUGGGCACUAGGUGUGGGGACCAUUCCACGGUUUCCGCGCCGCAGCUAACGCAUUAAGUGCCCCGCCUGGGGAGUACGGCCGCAAGGCUAAAACUCAAAGGAAUUGACGGGGGGCCCGCACAAGCGGCGGANCAUGCGGAUUAAUUCGAUGCAACGCGAAGANCUUACCAAGGCUUNGACAUGUUCUCGAUCGCCGUANAGAUACGGUUUCCCCUUUGGGGGCGGGUUCACAGGUGGNGCAUG